ACUCGAGCCAUUCGCACAAUGU
rnacentral:miRNA from 10 species